rnacentral:lncRNA from 1 species
UCUUUUGUCUUUUUAGGGCCGCACCUGUGGCAUAAUGACUGUAACAUUAUUACAGAGGAGAAGCUAUGUUGCUUCUAAGAGGGAAAAGGGAGGAAGAGAGUGGAAGAAAGAGUGAGAUCAGAAGAAGAGAGGCAAGCCAGACGGCACCAUGCCGCCCAGCCCGGCCUCGAAUCCUGGUGGAUUUGGACUGGGACGCGGCCUGCCCAGACUGCCUCAGGGGAGCCAGCUGUGCAACUCCAGCAGUGAUAUCACAUUACUAGCUCAAAAUAACCCAGGGUCGGAGUAUUUAUACCAAGGAAAGUGGUGACUAUCACAAACUGAAGUCACCAGCCCCACCCUUCCUCAGAAAGCCCAUUUCCCAGAACCCCUCUGGAUCCGGGGCAAGAGUCCACGGGCACACCUGAGAGAUAUCGAAGGUUAGGCUGCAGACCGCCGCAGUAAAGCAAAUACGGAAAAAAGUGAGUCACACAGUUCUGGUUUUCAGUGUAUAUAAAAGUUACAUUUACAUUAUACUGUAGUCCAUUAAGUGUGCAAUAGCACUAUGUCUAAAAAAUACACACACCUCGAUUUUAAAACACUUGGUUGCUAAAAAACGUAACCAUCAUCUGACAACCCACAAACCUUCCGCUGGUUAAAAAAUGAAUAAAAAGCAGUACCUGUGAAGUCUAUAAAGCAAAGUACAAUAAAAUAAGGUAUGCCUGUAAAUAGAAGCCAGCGUAACACAUCUAAAUACUGACAGCUCUAAGUUGGGUGAUGAGCGAUUACGUGAAAGAGGCUUGACCCUCCUCCUCUGACCAGUACACGGUUAGAAUGACUCGAAAAGGUUGUUUCAGAUUUCGCUUUCUCAGACCCUUGGGGCUCCACGAGGGAACGUGGAGAGACAGCUGGCUGCUUGGCUGCGGGGCCCCCCAACCCUGGGCUAGAGGCAGCUCCCCUUCCAAUCCUACCCAUCGGCUCACUCCACAGGGCAAAGGCCCUGUGUGCACGUGCGGCCAGCCUAAAAUGCACGUCCACUCACACCUACACCUCUUUGUAAACCUGUGUCCCUCUGGGGCCCUUGGGGACUGUGGCUGUGGACUCCAGGUGGGCUGUCUGCCCUAGGACUGAACCAGCAAGCAGGCUCUGCGAGUCCUGAGGUAGGCUCGGGGCUGUUUGGGUAGAUGUUUCUGGCUCACAGGCACCCUGAGCAUGGUGUAGAAGAAAGUGGUGCAGGACACAGGUGAGCAGGCCUUCUGGGCCCCACGGACCCCUUGCCCCGUGGGAGCGUGUAGCCAGAGGAGGUCAGAAUCGGGCUCUCCAGAGCAGGGCGCUUAGCACAGGCGCUCUUCCUGCAGGGCUAAGGAUAUACCAUUGUGCUGGCUUGCACCAUGGCCCCCUCUCGGGAUCCUCCAGAUUCCAAGCAAAUUCUGUAAAAUCUCGAAAUGCCUGGGUUACGAGGCGUUUCCCUCUGGAAACUGGAGAAGACACGAGUGUUCUCUGGGAAAACGUUUUCCCAUACAGGUUAUUACAAACUACUGAAUAGAUUUUCUAGGUAGGACUGAUUCACUUUGCUGUACACCUGAAACGAAUACAACACUGUAAGUCAACUCUACUCCAAUAAAAUUAUUUAAAAAAAAGAAAAUGCCAUUCUGUCCCCCAGCUGCCCAAGCCAGACACCUGAGUUAUUCUUGGUGUUUCUGCCUCUCUCCCGGAGCUCAGCUAAGCAUGUUGCAAACUGACCCAAGUCGAACUGACUGUUAACAACUGUUAGAUGCUUACUGGGAGAUCCUUACUGGGCGAGAGCCUCCAGCAGUUAGAGGUGGGUGGAGACUUCAAGUUGCUGAACCCAAGAUUCAUGAAAUGUUGGCAGGUCACUCUAGAGUCAAGCCUCAGAUUACACUCUGCUCUGCCUCAUGAUCAGCAAGCAGGACCCUGUUCCAGUAAACUCAGCUCAAUCCACUGGGUACUGUGUUCGCUGAGGUGGGGCAGAGCUGAUGCAGCAAAGAGAUCCGACAGCAGGACAAUAGUUUGGCAAGAGUCUAAAGGGGACAUUUCAAGUCAGCAGGUGGCCUCUAUUCCAUGCAGUUACCUGGGCACUCAGGUUCCUUCUAACCACCCGAUACCCCACCACCUCCAGGGCUUUCGCUGCUUGGUCUCAAGGCUUAGGCCCCCAAACCUAAGUGCACAUACUCCGACAUUCCAUCAGACAAAACACAGCCAUGUGGCCAUAUCUAUCCACCAGGUGGGCUCUAAGUUUGGUGCAGCCAUGCACCUAGGAAGAAGGGCAGAAUGGAUUUUUUUUUGGUGGAUGACCAGUUGACACGACCACUGGCAUAUUGCCAAAUAUCUUUCAUGAAAGAGUUGAUCAAGGCAGAUACAAAAAUAUUCUAGAGGCAGGUUCAGCUCACUCCUCAUAGUGAGAACAGGUAGCAGAAUCUUCGGUUUUAGUCCACAGCCGGAGCCACGGAGACUGCGCAGAAGGCUGCGAUCUGCAGGGCUCGUACACCCACACAGUCCUACACAGACAAGAGGCAGAGGUGCCUCUGCAAUGCUGGUAGUUAAAACAGGUCCUGGAACACUGCUCAUUUUGCCCAUUAAAAUUAUGUCUGCCUUUUCUUUGGCUAGUGAGCGAGCCUAACACUUAGCACAGUGAAAUGGAAAUAGGUGAACUGCUUGUAAUAAGUAUUCUGGAACAUGAAGACCUGACAAAGCCAUUUCAAAUAUGCCCUGGAGAGUAAAUUCCCGAUAAGGGGAUUUCACAUGCUUAUUAUAAUCUCCAGAUUAAAACUAACAAACACAGGCAUAUCACAUUGCUCAGGCCCUGGAAUCAGACUGAGCACAUUACACAUACACAUAAACAUAAACACAGAGACUAGCUAUCAGAAUACAGAUGGUAAUUACCAGGUAGGGGUCAUUCUGUUCAGUUGUCAAUAUACAUAUAUUCCCAGAGAGAAUAUGUAAUUCAGGAUCUUAUGAUGAAGAAAACAAAGGGAUUUAAGAAUGACUAAAUCGGAGUUCCCGUCAUAGCGCAGCGGAAGCGAAUCCGACUAGGAACCAUGAGGAUGCAGGUUCGACCCCUGGCCUUGCUCAGUGGAUUAAGGAUCUGGUGCUGCCUUGAGCUAUGGUAGAGGUCACAGAUAUGGCUCAGAUCCCAUGUUGCUGUGGCUGUGGUGCAGGCCAGCAGCUGAUUCAGUCCCUAGCCCUGGAACUUACAUAUGCUAUGCAUGUGGCCCUAAAAAGCAAAAAAAAAAAAAAAAAAAAAAAAAAAAGAAUGACUAAUCCAUUCUGCAGUUUACACAAUUCUAUUUUUUAGGGCCGCACUCUCAGCAUAUGUAGGUUCCCAGGCUAGGGGUGGAAUUGGAGCUGUAGCUGCCAGCUUACACCACAGCCAUAGCAGCUUGGGAUCCGAGCCAUGUCUGUGGCCUACACCAUAGCUCACAGCAACACCAGAUCCUUAACCCACUGAUCGAGCCCAGGGAUGGAACCUGCAACCUCAUGGUUCCUAGUCGGAUUCGCUAACCUCUGAGCCACAAAGGGGACUCCUUUACAAAAUUCUAAAAGCCCUCAUGUCAUUUCCACUUCCUCCCCUCUAAGGAACUGGCCAUAACAGCUCACCUCUGUGCCCAGGGGAGUAUUUCAGUGAUGGCUUGGAUCCUCUUUUUGGGGUUCCACACUGCUCUCAUCUUACACCAGUUGGAGACAUUCAUUUCCUCUUUCUAGGUCUUCAUUAUUUUUAUUUUAUUUUAUUUUAGCUUUUUAGGGCCACACCCACGGCAUAUGGAAGUUCCCAGGCUAGGGAUUGGAUCAGAGCUACAGCUGCUGGCCUUUGCCACAGCCACAGCCACUCGGGAUCUGAGCCGCAUCUGUGACCUAUACCACAGCUCAUGGCAACACCAGAUCCUUAACCCACUGAGCGAGGCCAAGGAUCGAACGGGCAACCUCAUGGUUCCUAGUCGGAUUCGUUUCCGCUGCGCCACAAUGGGAACUCCAGGAAAGUGGUUCUCAUUUUUUUACUUCAGUCUUGGCGCAAAAUAUAGUUUUCAACCAGUGAUAUAGUCCUUCUCAAUUCCUUUGCCCAUGAUUGUGUUACUGCCUGUGAAGGGGCAAUACAACGGGUGGUUAAAGCAAGGGCUCUGGAUGGAUAAGACGGGGCUGACUCCCAGGUCAUGACACACCUCCUGUGUGACACUGUCCUCAUUACCCAGCCUUCCUCUUCCUCCAUUUCCUUCCUAUAAAAUAAGUGAAUAGGUGCAAAGUGCUUGGAGCAAUACCUGGACACAGUAGCACCAAACAGGUGUUGGCUACUAUAAGUUUCUCCAGACAGACCUGUAGACUGACUCAUCCAUUUUAGGGUUUUUUAUUUUGAGAAGUAAAUCAGUAACACAUACUUUUAUACUUUAACUAUCAUUCUUAGCACAUCACACACUGUUUCUCCACUGGGCAAUUGCAGAUACAGGGUCAGAGAGUUGCUGGGGUUGUUUUGAAAUUUAAGUUGCUUAAGACUGUGAUUCUGGGAUAGAAAAAAUUACCUUUUCUUUGUCCUUUAUCAGCUGUCUCUCUUUUAGACACUUAACUGAUUAUCAGUCUUUCUAUAUGAAGGCAUAAAGAGAUUUUAAAAAAGAGAAGUGAAAUAAUUUUUUUAAAGAAAAAAGGUCAGCAGCAGGCAGCUGCUGAAAGAAAGCCUAAAAAAGUUUUCACACCACCCAUGCACUAAAUUUAUCUACAUACUAUCUGCGGUUAAAAGAUCUAUAAAAUGGCUAAAAGAUGAAUACGAUUUGGAGGAUACCUCAUCAAAAAUUACACAUAGAUUAAAACACACUUGGAGUUCCAACCGUGGAGCAGUGGAAACGAAUCUGACUAGUAUCCAUGAGGACGCAGGUUCAAUCCUUGACCUCGCUCAGGGGGUUAAGGAUUCGGCAUGGCCGUGAGUUGUGCUGUAGGUCGCAGCUGCUGUGGCUGUGGUGUAGGCUGGCAGCUACAGCUCCAAUUCGACCCCU